AAGAUUGUGUAGGGGAACUAAGUGGGAGGACAUAAGGAAAACCAAAGAGUAGCAUAAAUAGAUUAUGUAAUUUAUCAACCCACCCAGGACAUGUCUGAUAGUAAAAAGGACUAUCUAGGACUCACUCUAGGAAUAAAGGUAUAAACCAGCUGGGACCAUACUGGGAAAACCAGGACAUGUGGUCACCCUAAGAUUAGGAAAAGAAAGAGUGUCAGGAACCUUAGGAAGUGAAUAGGGCAGUUGCCGGAUAAUGCAAAAAAGGAAUAACUGAGAUGUCAGGUCAGUGCCUGGGAUGUGUGCAGUGGAAUGGUGAGGUGUGCAGAUAAGGAAAACAUUUGAGCUUAGACUGAUGUUGGCGGGGAGAGGUUGCUGUGUUCAUGACUCCAAUAUAACCAUCCAGGUCUGAGCCAAGGUAGGCCUUGACUCUGGGUUCUAUCAUUCUUGUUAGAGUAUCAGGUCGAGGCUUUAAGUUGAGAGUUGGGAGGGAGACUGGGGAAGGAGGAGGAUCAAAUGGUUCGAGUUCUAGAAUAUGUGGCUCUAUAUGAGAGGUUGAACUGAAUCAUCAAUCCUACAUAGAUUGGGUCUCCAUAUUCAAGUCUACAUUAGAAAUCCCCAUAAACUCAAUUCAAUCUUACUGUAUGUUCUCAAACAUACAGUUCUAUUUUAGGUUUGCAAAGAAAAAGGGCUCCUCUUUUAGAUUCUGAGAAGUUUCUACUAUUUUAGGCAAGUAAUAGAUAACAUAUUCUGACUAUGAGUGGGUCGGGAAGUACCUUUAAAUUAUAUGCCUCAGUUUCCUCGUCUGUAAAAUUGGGAUAAUGAGAUUUUCUACAUUUUAGGUUGUUGUGGGGAUUAAAUGAAAUACAGGUAAAGUACUUGGUCCAAAGUAAGUGCUUAAUAAGUGUUAAAGUGUUAGCUGCAUUAUUAUUCUAGAUGGAAGGGUUUCCCCCAUGUUCAGCAUGUAAGAUAUGCCCUAUGCCAUGGUUCUUUCUGAACUAUAAACAGGAUCCUUUUACUCACGUUGGGUAGUGGUCUUUGUGACCGUCACUCUGGUAGAUCCCUUGUCUCUUCAACUCCAAUAGUCAUCUUCAUGACUACGUGGUUAAUUGAAGCAAAACGCCUUCCCCUGCCCCUAUUCCUAUGAAUCUGGCUUUUCUGCUCUGUUUUCAUCUUUCUCUGCAUUGACACAGGUGCUCCGUUCACAGCUAACAGAACGUUAUCUUACCUCUUCCUGGCAAAGCUUACACCUUCAUCUUCUGUCUGAAAGGACCCUUCCAAGCUCUAGGCUCAUUAGCAAAGCAAAGAUAAUUGAUGCAUGCAGAACUCAUUGAAUAAUCAGUCCUCUCUCAGUUCAGUUUACCACCUCUGUUCAUUUCCCUAGAUCAUCCCUAAUACACCACUCCUUCGAGUUUUCUUCUUCCACAUAUUUUUUCACAAUCUCAUUAUUAUGCACAUCAUAAUUUUGCAUCAUGCAUGCAUGAAAACAAUAACAAGCCAUUUUCAUUAAAAAAGACCAGUAUCAUCCAUUCACAGCCAAGUUUCUGUUCUAGACAUAUUUCUAGUGUUCUUGUGUGUCUAGCUAAGGGAGGGUCCAGGGUUAAUGAAAUAUCCCUGAUUUUUCAUUAACAAAACCUUUGUGGACUCAGGUGGAGAGACUUAUCCAAGAACGUGGCUGGGAGUUCAUGUGGAAUGAGCGUUUGGGAUACAUCUUGACCUGUCCAUCUAACCUGGGCACUGGACUUCGGGCAGGAGUGCACAUCAAACUGCCCCUGCUAAGCAAAGAUACCGCUUCCCAAAGAUCCUGGAGAACCUAAGACUCCAAAAGCGUGGUACUGGAGGAGUGGACACUGCUGCCACAGGCGGUGUCUUUGAUAUUUCUAAUUUGGACCGACUAGGCAAAUCAGAGGUGGAGCUUGUGCAGCGGUGCAUCGAUGGAGUAAACUAUUUGAUUGAUUGUGAAGGCGUCUGGAGAGAGGCCAGGAUAUCCGCAUCCCCACACCUGUCAUCCACACCAAGCAUUAACUCCCCCCACAACUGAUGUCUCAAGAUUUCCAGGAGUUCUGCUCAUUCUAUGAUGGCCUUUCUACUUGCUCUGGACCUGCCCCGCAUCCCCUGCCUCCAUCUAGUAAAGACUCCUUGCUAUGCUGCA